AACGAACGCUGGCGGCAGGCUUAACACAUGCAAGUCGAACGCAUCCUUCGGGGUGAGUGGCAGACGGGUGAGUAACGCGUGGGAACGUGCCCUUCAGUUCGGGAUAACCCAGGGAAACUUGGGCUAAUACCGGAUACGUGCGAGAGCAGAAAGAUUUAUCGCUGAAGGAUCGGCCCGCGUCUGAUUAGCUAGUUGGGGGGGUAACGGCCCACCAAGGCGACGAUCAGUAGCUGGUCUGAGAGGAUGAUCAGCCACAUUGGGACUGAGACACGGCCCAAACUCCUACGGGAGGCAGCAGUGGGGAAUAUUGGACAAUGGGCGCAAGCCUGAUCCAGCCAUGCCGCGUGAGUGAUGAAGGCCUUAGGGUUGUAAAGCUCUUUCGUCCGGGACGAUAAUGACGGUACCGGAAGAAGAAGCCCCGGCUAACUUCGUGCCAGCCGCCGCAGUAA
rnacentral:rRNA from 1 species